rnacentral:rRNA from 1 species
UACGUAGGUGGCAAGCGUUGUCCGGAUUUACUGGGCGUAAAGGGCGUGCAGGCGGUCUGUUAAGUUCAGGGUGAAAGCUCCCGGCUCAACUGGGAGAGGUCCUUGGAUACUGGCAGACUUGAGGGAGGUAGAGGAGAGUGGAAUUCCCGGUGUAGUGGUGAUAUGCGUAGAUAUCGGGAGGAACACCAGUGGCGAAGGCGGCUCUCUGGGCAUGUUCUGACGCUGAGGAGCGAAAGUGUGGGGAGCGAACAGG